rnacentral:rRNA from 1 species
AGCAGGGUAGCAAUACCGCUGACGACCGGCGCACGGGUGAGUAACACGUAUCCAACCUUCCCAUAACUCAGGGAUAGCCUUUCGAAAGAAAGAUUAAUACCUGAUAGUACUUAAGAAAGGCAUCUUUUUAAGUUAAAGAUUUAUCGGUUAUGGAUGGGGAUGCGUUCCAUUAGAUAGUUGGUGAGGUAACGGCUCACCAAGUCUUCGAUGGAUAGGGGUUCUGAGAGGAAGGUCCCCCACAUUGGUACUGAGACACGGACCAAACUCCUACGGGAGGCAGCAGUGAGGAAUAUUGGUCAAUGGGCGAGAGCCUGAACCAGCCAAGUAGCGUGAAGGAUGACGG